rnacentral:sRNA from 1 species
ACAAAGGUAUUUUUGAUUAUCGAAAUGUCAAGCAAAAAAGUGGUGGAUGCAAAAGCUCGGGACAGAGUAUAGUAUGUAAUUAUCUUAAAGAGAAUUGCUGAUUUGUUUUAUUUGAGUUAUUCUGGUUUUUGUUAAAUCUUUUUUCCUGUGUAAGGAUUUCUUUUAAAAUCAAUAAGAGUAACAUCUAAACAUUUGAAUAACGUAAUCUAAUGUAGAUCCACAUUUCAAUUAGUAUUACUAGCAGUUUUCAUUUUAAAUCAGAAUUACUUUACUACGCGAUUAUUUUAUUAAAAUUUAUUAAUUUUAAACAUGCUUUUGUUAAUUUGUGUUCAUCAAAUUAUUCCUUUAUUUAAAGGGAUUUAGACACGAUUUUAGAUUGAAUUUUAUUCUCUAUUUUUUUUUUGUAUAAAAUGGUUUACUAGCUCAUUUUGAAUGAUUGGCCAAAAUAUGAAUGUUAGAAUUCAUAUUAUAAGAGAGAUACAGAGGUAAGAAUUCAUUGUUAUGUAAACAAAGCUCGAGACUUAUAUUUGUUUACAAAUAAUGUAAAGUAUGGAAUUACCAUUUCUUUAACAAAAUGACUCGUGGUAAACAAGGUAAACUGAUUCAAUGUGUUAAUAAAUAAUAUCAGUAACAGAAGAAAACAACAUUUGAUUGAAACUUAUACCAAUAAAACACAUAUGUAAACGAUAAACAGAAUAUCUUGCUUAUAACUCAAUAUUUGACUUUUUUUUAUAUACCCAUAUUAACCAUUCUAAACAUUAAAAAUGGAAAAAUAAAAUUUAAAAUUUUUAACUCAAACCGUGUCUAAGUCCCUUUAAAGCCAUUUUCUCGUGAUAAAAAAUACAUUUACACGCGAUAACAGACUAUAGCCUGCUGAUCACUCAGGAGUAAAAAUCAAUAUGUAGGCCAGGUGGGAAUUGAGAAUUUCAGAAUGUUGGCUAAGUGGGAAUAACGAGUGCACAUUAGGGAAACAUCAACCGUUUCUAAUGGGACAAGUCAAAUGGAUUUUUGCAUCUUUUGAAAAAUUACAUAUUUAAGCGCAGUGAGGUAUAUUUUUCUCUUCGCAUGUGUAGAUAGAUUUUCAAUUUAUAAAAUACAUUGAUUAGCCUAAUGAGAAAAUGAAUCUAACUGCGCUCGUGUAUUUUAAAGGCUUUCAAAAAUGUAGGCCAUUGCUAGUCUAACAUUGUACCCCUACCACAAAUAAAUGAAUUUAAACGUUCUAGAAAACUUAAAUUCACCUUCGAGGUGAAUAUUUUACUUUAAAAUCAAUUCUGUUAUAAGAAUUGUAUUGGAUAAAACAUGUAUUCUAUGAGGUAACAAACACACAUGAAUAUUUUUAUCCUCAUUAUACAGUGGCUGAUUCAGUUUUUUGUGGGGUU